rnacentral:rRNA from 1 species
GACGAACGCUGGCGGCGUGCUUAACACAUGCAAGUCGAACGGGUCUGCCCUGUUUUUUGCGGGGUGGGUCAGUGGCGAACGGGUGAGUAACACGUGAGUAACCUGCCCCUCACUUCUGGAUAACCGCUUGAAAGGGUGGCUAAUACGGGGUGUUCUGGCUGUGCCGCAUGGUGUGGCUGGGAAAGAUUCACUUUUGUGGUGUUUUGGUGGGGGAUGGGCUCGCGGCCUAUCAGCUUGUUGGUGGGGUGAUGGCCUGCCAAGGCUUUGACGGGUAGCCGGCCUGAGAGGGUGGGCGGUCACACUGGGACUGGGAUACGGCCCAGACUCCUGCGGGAGGCAGCAGUGGGGGGUAUUGCACAAUGGGCGGAAGCCUGAUGCAGCGACGUCGCGGGAGGGAUGGAGGCCUUCGGGUUGUGAACCUCUUUCGCCGGUGAAGAAGGUCCUGCUCUUUGUGGUGGGGUUGACGGUAGCCGGGUUAUGAAGCGCCGGCUAACUACGUG